rfam:Octopus bimaculoides Scaffold23905_contig_1, whole genome shotgun sequence.
GUCAGGAUGGCCGAGCGGUCUAAGGCGCUGCGUUCAGGUCGCAGUCGGGUCAUCUCGGCGUGGGUUCGAAUCCCACUUCUGACA